AAUUUUGCCCCAAUAAAGUCCUGAAAUGACCUUUAAUGCAAACACGUAAAACUAGGGUAAAAUGCAAUAUCUAGUUCGCCACUAGGUGGCAGUGCACAAUAAAACGUUCUUCGUCUGCUGUUUUCUGCCAUUCGACCUGCCUUGAAAAAAGCCUGGAAAAAUGGGAGCCAGAGCAGAAUGGAUUACAGUGGAUUAAAAAAACAGUCUGGCUAUCUACAAUAGCAGUGGAUGUUACCACACAGACUGUUUUUUUUUAGGCUUCUUCUGGUCCCGGAUCCCUGGUGUUCUUUCCACCGAAGCUGGAUUCCUCUCUGUUUGCCCUGGUGCCUGGUUCCCUGGUCCACUGCCUCAACUAACAGCGCUGCAACGGUUCAAUUUGGUGGUUUGAUAUGGAUGCUGAGUAUUGAAGGGGU